UCACUUUUCUGGCUUUUCUCUCCUGCUAAAUUAAGUAGAAAUGUUUCCUGGCAGUAAUUAAAACCUUCUGCCACUGCCAUAGCUGCUGCUGCUGCUGCUGCUGCUGCUGCUGCUGGAACCACCAUAGCCACCUUGGUUUCAUGGUUUGGCAAAAUAUUGGCCUCCACCACCACAGGGGCCAGAGCUUCUGCCUCCAAAAUUUUCUCCUUUCAUAGGUCCAAAAUGUGAAGAUUGAUUGUUGUAAUUGCCAAAGUCAUUAUAGCUUCUGUCAUCUCCAAAAUUGCUUCAACCAUUACCAAAUCUGUUAUAGCUGUCCCCAUCGCCACUAUAUCCACCACCACCUUGACUUCCACCAAAGCCACCUCAUCAGUGAAGUUUCCUUCACGAUCAAAGUUGUAGUUCCCACUAAAACCACUUCCACGACCACCACCAAAGUUUCCAGAAUCACUUCGACGUCUUUAGCUGGAUGAAGCACUAGCCGUCUCUUGCUUAGAUAGGGCUUUCCUUACUUCACAGUUGUGGUCAUUCACAGCAUGGUAUUUUUUUAAAUUUGUUUAUUAUUUUGAGAGAGAGUACAUGCAGGGAAGGGGCACAGAGAGAGAGAGAGAGAGAGAGAGAGAGAGAAUCCCAAGAAGGCUCUCACAAACAAUGAGAUCAUGACCUAAGCCAAAAUCAGAGUCAAACGCUCAACUGACUGAGCCACCCAAGAGCCCCCAGUAUGGUAUUUUUGAAUGACAAUCUUGUCCACAGAGUCAUGGUCAUCAAAUGUCACAAAAGUAAAGCCUCUCUUCCUGCCACUGCCUCAGUCAGUCAUGAUUUCAAUUACUUCCAUUUUCCCAUAAUGUUCAAAAUAAUCUCUUAGAUGAUGUUCUUUAGUGUCUAAUGCCACCAACAAAAACCUUUUUCACAGCUAAGUGGGCACCAGGUCUUUGAGAAUCUCCUCUUGAGACAGCCCUCUUUGGUACCACAACUCUUCCAUCCACCUUGUGUGGCCUUGCACUCAUGGCUGCAUCCACCUCUUCCACAGUGGCAUACGUGACAAACCCAAAGCCUCUGGCGUGCUUGGUGUUUGGAUCUCUCAUUACCACACAGUCUGUGAGUGUUGCCCAUUGCUCAAAAUGGCUCCUCAGACUCUCAUUGGUUGUUUCAAAGCUCAAACCUCCCAUGAAGAUCUACCACAGCUGUUCAGGCUCUUUGAGAGAUUCUGACUUAGACAUGUUGGUAGUGGCAGGGGAGACUUUAAUAAUACUUGUUAGCAUCCACAGGCAGAAAG
rnacentral:lncRNA from 1 species